AACUUCCCGUUGAUUUAAUAAAUAAUUCCUGUGUGCUUUCAAAGGAGCUUAGAAGAUACACGUCACCUCUUCUUCUUAUCCCCGAUGAUCAUUCUUAUAGAGAUUGCAUUCGCGCAUUCCUCAUACAUACGAUUACAGCGAAAGAUGACUGGCGUAUUUUUUGCGGUCGUUGACUCGUUCGAAAUACAACGUUCUCGUCGUUUAAGCUUCUUUAAACUACCUUGUGCACGCACACGCAUAUGUUUCUUUGAUCUUCUAUCUUCUCGUAUGAUUGUGUGUAUUUCAAGUACAAAAUUUUGUUAUACGAUUUACUUCUAAUUAGAAUUUGUAUUUCCAUAUGCUAAAUUAAUUUUGGACAUGUAUUGUAUGAAUCGCAGCAUUUUAUGUAGAUAUAUAUAAUUGUUUUAAAGGUUAUUAAUUAGAAAUCCGAUUAUUUAUUUAAAGAUGUAUCAUGUAAUAAUACUCAUUUCCAUUGUCGAUUUCACGUAAAAAAAUAAAUUUUAUGAUCAUGUUUUUUUUUAUAAAUUUGUAUUAAAAGAUAUGCAUUGAAAUAGAUAGUAUUUAAAUAACUUGUUUUUAUUAUAACAAAUUACAUAUUUGUCUUUAAUAAGCUGUAAAGUUAUAAGUUGAAAGUAUAAUCAAAUUUGGUAAAAAUCAUCAAUUAAUUUGUAUCAAAGGUAAAAUUGAAUUUCAAAGUUUUUACGAAAUGAACUUUAACCUUGAAACAGGUCAGUGACCGUUUUCAUGUAGAAAGCUAUUUUUAACCGAAGGCAAAAUCGAGAGGAAUACGAUACGCAAUCGAUAAUUUUAAUGUUACGCAUCGAUGGGCAAUUAUUAUCGAUUAUAAUUCGGUGUCAUACAUAUUGAUAAGGCCACGAUGUGCUGUGUUUUACAUACGAAUCACUGAGCGUGCACACGACACGCUCGAGCGCUGGAAUACCAAUGAACCAUGUAUAUACAGAAUCUCAAAGCAAAAUCCCGACCUAGAAAUCUUAAAUUUCGUGUCACGAAACGAUUCUGUUCCGCCUUUUAAAAAUUACGUGAACUUUUUUAUAUGUUUUAAAUUCUUUUGCCUUCCUAAAUAAUUUGGAUAUAACAUAAAUCUUUGUCUUUUCCAAUUAUUACUUUUUCGUAAUUUUAUUUUUUUAAAUAUAUACAAUUAUUUUUUUUUAUAACAUUUGUCGCAUGUUAAAGUCUCUACAAUUACUAUUUCACAAAAAAAAAAAAUUAAAGAAAAUGAUCAUGGUAUUUUUGCAUUAUUCAUAAUUUCAUGAAACUUUGUUAUAGGCAAUAUAGAAAUCUUAAGAAACAAAAAAAAAUAUAAAUAACAAUUUAUUUAUAUUUGAAAUUAGUUAUCGUAUAUGAGCCCGUUAUAUUGGGUGAACGAACUUCGAAAAGAACAAAAUUUGUGAGCCUAUUACGUGAACCCUUAAAUUUCAAUGCCUAUUUGUAUGCCGAACAGAUUUUUCAGGAACCGAAGCCGUGGUGCGCGGCAUGGUGUCGAUGGAACUAAAUGAUGGGGAAAGGGGAGGUGUGUCUUACGAAUAUAUGCUCGUUCGACAUCGUUAAUCGAAUCGGUCGUAAUUACGUACAUCGUAAAUUUUAAUGAUCCUUAAUCGGAUCGGUAAGUGGAGUGGCUUCUCUUAACGGUGAUGUUUUGAGAUCCCGCUAAACACUGAAUUAAAAAAAAAAGUUUUCAUUGCAUGCCGAAAACAAAGAUCUCUAAAUUUGAAUGUUUUAUAAAUAUUGCGAAAAAUGAAUUCCUGAAAAUCAUUUUUAUAAUGUAGAAUUUUUCAUUGUAAGAAUUUUCUUUUUUUGGUUAAAUUUCGAUGAUGCUUUAAUAAAUAAAAAUAUAGUAAUAUUGAGAUAAUAGGAUUCGAUAAUCUAUAUUACAUUGAUUUAUGACAUUUUUAUAUUCUGAAUUCCUAUCAUCAGUCUCAACCGAAAAAAGAAUCUUGUGAAUCUUUUUGAAAUUAUGAAUGCUUCUCCAACAUUACAGGGAUGACGCAUCAAUACUGACUCAUCAUUAGGAAGCCCAUGUUUAUGUUACAGAUCAUCGAUAGCCAACCAUAAACUUACAUUACAAUUAAUUGACUACUUGAAAAACAGUAGCAAGUGAUUUGACAUGUAAACGACAGCCAAUAUCUUCAUCAGUAUUCGUUAUUAUCAUCAAGAAAAUUAUCAACUAUGAAUAUCACGAAUCAAUCAAUCUACAUAAAAUAUGUAAUCUCUGUGCACACGAUAUAUUUCAUAUAUCAAGUUAAUAAACUAGUAAUAGAUGAUAAAUAAAUCACUCAAUAAGGGUUUACAAACGAUUUACCAGCCAUCUAGUGCUCAAAGUAAUACUUUACUCUGCAUUUUCAUAUUUAUUAACGCCCUCUGGAUAACAAAAUAACUAACAAAAAAUAUUAACAAAAUAAAUCAUAUUUAUUGCAAUCUUAACAAUUUUAUAUUGAAAGAGAUUAACAUUCCUAUGUUCCUGGACGGUUUUAAUCGAUCUUUAUCAGGAUUAGCGGAUUACCAUGAAUACAACCAGAUCAGAAUUAAUUCAGAUCUCUGUUAAGAUCGAUAUCGAUUACAAAUGGAUUAGGGUUCACGAAAAAUAAAAGAAUACUCACCGACGAGGCUUAGGUCGCAAUAUCUCGUGACCAGAAUCGGAUAUGCAGAUACUCAGGCUUAAUGGUCCCCCAUAGUGUUCUGGAGGCGCACCGGUUUGGACAGUCUGCUGCUGGGGACUGGAUAUACCGCCAGAACCGGAAGUGCCGGUCAAAAACAACGGUUGCUGCCCACAACCGUCCAUCGUGGCUCGCUCGACGUUCAUUCUGCCUCCCGUUGCUGAUUGCACUGGAAGACCUGGGAAAUUAAAAAUAAAAAUUUUUGAAAUCCUAUACAAAACAUAUCGGUGUUAACUUUUCUUCACAGAAUUAUGGAUUUAUUGUUGUUGACAAAAUUAUUGUUUCAUAAAUUGAAUUAUAUAAUACACCUAUAAUAAUUUUAUUUCUAUGUUCUAACAAAAACUAUUUUUCUAUGUAAAUGAAUUUCUAUAGAAUAAAGAAUUACAAAAUAUUUAGCUUAAA